rnacentral:rRNA from 1 species
GUAAGGAUAAUGAAAUAGAAAUUAAAUAAAUAAUAAAAAUAAAACAAAGCAAGAACUAAUACCUUUACCUUUUGCAUUAUGGUUUAGCAAGUCAAUCUUUACAAAAAGAAUUUGUAAAUUUUCCCGAAACCAAACGAGCUACCUUAUGACAUAUUAUCUCUGUAGCAAAAGAGAGAAUAGAGCUUAUGGUAGAGGCAAAAAACCUAACGAGCUUGGAUAUAGCUGGUUGCCUGAGAAAGAAUUUAAGUUCACAUGAAAGCAGUAUUACCAUAAAGGAAAGUAUCUUUCAUAUUAAUUAACUGAGUUACAGCCCACUUAAUAAGGGAAACAACCCACAUAAAUGAAUAAUGAUUUUUAAGAAAAUUAAACCAAGUAGGCCUAAAAGCAGCCACCACAUGAAAGCGUAAAAGCUUCACUCAUAAAUAAUCAACUAUCACAUUAAACUAUCUUAAUUCAACAAAACAAUCAAGCUAAUCUAUAUCUAGAUAAACUACUACUAGAAUUAGUAAUAAGAAUUUAUUCUCUCUAAUACAAACGUAUAUCAGAACGAACUAGUCACUGAUGAUUAAUGAUACUAUUUAUAAAACAAGAAUAUAAUAAUUUAAAACAUUAACCCAACACAGGUGUAUUUAAGAAAGAUAUAAAGGUUAGAAAGGAACUCGGCAAACCCAGGCUUCGCCUGUUUACCAAAAACAUCGCCUUUUGAAAUAUAAACAUAAAAGGUCCUGCCUGCCCAAUGACUUGUUUUUAAUGGCCGCGGUAUUAUGACCGUGCAAAGGUAGCGUAAUCAUUUGUCUUUUAAAUAAAGACCAGUAUGAAUGGCAAAACGAAAGCCUCACUGUCUCUCUAACCUACUCAAUGAAAUUGAUCUAUCCGUGCAGAAGCGGAGAUAAAAAUAUAAGACGAGAAGACCCUGUGGAGCUUUAAACUUUAGCUAACUAAUUAAACACUUUAGUAUACAGUUUUUGGUUGGGGCGACCAUGAGGUAUAAUAUAACCCUCACGAUAUUUAAUUAAGAAAGACAUUUCAAACAACUAGUAUAGCAUAUGACCCACAUUUGAUUCACGAACCAAGU